UGGGGAAUAUUGCGCAAUGGGGGAAACCCUGACGCAGCAACGCCGCGUGAAUGAAGAAGGCCUUAGGGUUGUAAAGUUCUGUUUUCUGGGACGAUAAUGACGGUACCAGAGGAGGAAGCCACGGCUAACUACGUGCCAGCAGCCGCGGUAAUACGUAGGUGGCAAGCGUUGUCCGGAUUUACUGGGCGUAAAGGAUGCGUAGGCGGAUGUUUAAGUGAGAUGUGAAAUACCCGAGCUCAACUUGGGUGCUGCAUUUCAAACUGGAUAUCUAGAGUGCAGGAGAGGAAAGCGGAAUUCCUAGUGUAGCGGUGAAAUGCGUAGAGAUUAGGAAGAACACCAGUGGCGAAGGCGGCUUUCUGGACUGUAACUGACGCUGAGGCAUGAAAGCGUGGGGAGCAAACA
rnacentral:rRNA from 3 species